rnacentral:lncRNA from 1 species
CUCCCAUUAGUGACAGCUGUGGCAGUAGAGUUCUGAUGAGUUUUAUUUGUAUGGUUGUUUUAAUAACAAGAAACUGUAAGAGCUGGAAAGCUAGAGGAAUAUUUCCUAUCAGUACCAGCUAACAGAAGCCAGUCCUGGGGGCUGUGUCACCAGUGGAGGAAAGAGCUAAUUUAGUUCAAUUCUAGGAGAACACUCCAAAUAGGGUAGACUUGAAGAGAACAUUACAGACCCAUGUGUGAUAGUUCCCUCAGAAAGAGAUCUUAUACCAGGAUUCUUGGUGGCAAGCAACAGAAGUCAGCUCAAGCUAAUAUAAUUAAGUGGGAAUGUAUUGAAAGAUAUCUCAGUACUCACAGAAUUGAUAGGUGAAUCAAGGGCUGGGCCUAGAGAUGGGCAGGAACCAGGGAGGGUCUAGAAGCUCAGGAGCAGGCAAUUCAGUUCUACUCACCAUGGCUCCCUGACAACUAUUCCUGGGGUCCUUGUGUUCAAAGUUCCAGAAGAGCUUGUCAGAUUGGUUGAGCUUAGAUCACAUGUGUACUCUUAGGGCUAGGAGAGGAAGAAUCUGCUCUCUUCAAGAGCUUCCAUGGUGGGGAGCGGGCAGCUGGAUUUAUACUCCACUAAGCCUGCAUACAUGGGGAGAACGUAAUUCCCUAAAAAAAUCAGAUGACAUCAGGAAGGGGAAUGGAUGUUGAAUAGCCAAAGAAAUGCCACAUGUUCACUGCAGCCCUGCCUUCAACAGCAUUACCUUCACACUAUGAUGUUAACAAUAAUGGAAGAGAUGAAAGAAAACUGGCAGGAGCCUAUAGGGAAAGUGCCUCGGUGGAAUUCCUGUGACCUACACUAUGGACGGAGCAGACUUCAUUAUUCACAACAGGCUGGAAGUCCAGUUACCAGCAGUGUGUCCACGUCUGAAGCCAGACAGAAACUUGUUCAGCCAGUUUCCUUCUUUCACGAGGCUGUUCCAAAACUGACACAUGCAGACUGAGAAAAACACUGAGAGUUUCUGUGUUCCCAGGAAUGAGUCCCACCAGAACAGGUCUCGGUCUGUUGCUAAACUGUGAUUCUCGUUUCUUCUCCUCACUCUGCCUCUCCCCUCCCCACCGCCACCUCCUUUUGCUACAAAGCUACGGACCAUCAAGUUUUAAUGCCGUGUUGAGUUGUUGAUUAAAACAGUGUGUUAUUUUCCGAAUGUCAAACAACAUAUGACAAUAAAGCAAGACAUAACAUAACA